AACGAACGCUGGCGGCGCGUUUUAAGCAUGCAAGUCGAGCGGUAAGCUAACUUCGGUUAGCCUAGAGCGGCGGACGGGUGAGUAACACGUGGAUAAUCUACCUCUUUGUUUGGGAUAGCUUGUGGAAACAUAAGGUAAUACCGGAUGAGAUUCAAGAGUCAAAAGACACUUGAAGGAAAGGCGCUUUCGGGCGUCGCAAAGAGAUGAGUCCGCGUCCCAUUAGCUAGACGGCAGGGUAAAAGCCUACCGUGGCAAUGAUGGGUAGCCGGCCUGAGAGGGUGAUCGGCCACACUGGAACUGAGAUACGGUCCAG
rnacentral:rRNA from 1 species